CGGUGCAACAUCGAUGUUUCACUACAAAAUGCAAAGUAAGGUGUAGAGAAGGCAGCAGUCACAGAUUGUUUCUCUCUUAUAUUUUCAGCGCUCUUCAUAACAGAUAACUUCUGGUCAGCAGCUUCAUUGCCACCUAGGCUUCUCUUGAGGACUAUGAAAGACAUGAAGAGAAGUACCACCACUGGAUCCACUGAAGUAGCGCCACCAGUGCCACUGGUCCUGUCAUGGGGAGGGACCAGGAGCCUACAGAGGGAAUGGUCUACAGGGUUAAAAAAGAUCAUUAUCUUCAUGAAUGAGGUUCUUCUGUUUCAACACUGACCCAAAGAGAAGUUCUGAGGGAUGAAAGGUCUAUUACUUAUUAUGUGACCGGACACCUUGGAUCACCUGGGAACCCGAGUCAGCUCAGAUGUGAGGAGAAGUGGGCGAUCUUCAGCUCUGCUCUUCUACAGCCAUUGCUAUUGUAUUUGGAUCUGAAAGGUAUCUGAAGUAAAAUAUUAGCAAGAAUGCUGCCAAGAAUGAGAUAAAUGAAGGAGGCUUAGUGGUGGAUAAUGCUGAAGGUUGAACUUUGACUGAAGAGCUACAGCUUCUUCUCACUGUAAAGACUGAAGUGUUUCUAUGCCUAGAAGGAGAAUAUACGAGGAAAUUUGUGUAACUUUAAAUGCUUGAAAGAAUUUCGAUAGUGCCAAAGCUAAGCAGUAAAUAAGUGGAAAAUUAGAACACUGAAUAUUGUUUUAAAUCUCAUCUAAAUCACCUGAAGUCUUGAGUAGGUCUAAAACUCAGCUGAUGUGUGUUUAAAAUUGCUACCAGUGGGAUAGAUUUGUUGAUAUUUAUCUCAGGGGAAUGUUGUGCUGAUAAAUGUGUCAAGUUCUCACCUAUUGCAGUAAUAACUGUACCAUGUAUGGAUGUAGACAAAUAAAAAGGUGUUUUAAAUGGCUUGUAAAACUUGGCAGAGAACAAAUCUCGUGAAUGCUUCUAGUUGAUCGCCAGGCUAUCAAAAUUCCCUUUACCAGUGUUGGGUGGUUACCUAUGUUGUUCCUGUGCAAAAUACCUGUGCCUCCCAUGAGCUGUGAAUCCGGUUUUUCAAGAGAUCAUUAAACAUGAAAGUACUAAACAUCCUAAUUCUUUCCUCCUAAAGUUAUAUCUCAGCAUUGUCUUCAUCAGUAGCCUUGUCUGCAGGAAGUGUAAAGUUUCCUGCUAUGAUUGUUUGAAUGCUGCCAAUUAUCAGAUCUGCUUUUGGCAGCUUUCCCCUCAACCUGCUGAUUAGCUAAUGUGCGGUUACUAAUACAAUAUGGGAAACGGGUGUAAACGAGGAAGCAAAAGAUUUAUUAAUUUCAUGUGCUAAAUACUGUUUGUAAUAUAAUUAUCAAUACUGUGAAAAGAAAUCCUGGCUUCUUGUGAAAUGGGGCACAAGAAUUUUGUAUGGUAAACAGGCGUAUUUUCCCCUUGAUGCACACACAAUUUUCAUUAGAUUCAUAGAAUUUAAAGGCAGGAGAGGGACCAUUAGAACAUCAAGUCUAACUACCUAUAAAACACAGGCCACAGAAUUUCAUCCCGUUACCUUGUAACACAAUUAAUGGAAGGCAGGAGCCAGAUCCAGAGCUGGAUGCACAGCAGCGUUACCAAGCUGGAAUAAUGGUGGUUUACACCAGCUGAGAAAUUGGCAGUGGAAAUAAAUGACAGCAGUUUAUGGAUUCUUUUUUUGCAUAAACCUAAAUGAAAAUGGUGACAUAUAUUUUAAUAGCAGUGAUGAAAGAACCGUGAUGGAAGUGAGUUUUGCAAAAUAUUUUAAGCUUUAGAAGAAAUGUUUUUUUUUUGUUCCAAAACCUUUCUGGGACGACUGCGUUCCCUGUCAUAAUCAAAACUCAUCCCUCCGCUGGAGGAAAGGCACAAAGUUAACAGAAGAAAAACGUUUCUCUUUAAAUUGAAACCUGUGCCAAGAUUUGUAUGUGUAAUUAAUUCGAGUCCUAGGAUUUUAGUGGGGGAAGGGAGGGCUAAAUAAUGCAAUAAAGCCCUGGAUUUUUCUAGAGCCAAGAACUUGAACUCAAAAGUUCAAUGAUUAAAAGCUGCAGGCGCUAAAAUGUAGAACCCGUGAUUUCUUUCAUUAGGUUCUAUAUUUGGCAAAACAAAAUGUCUCAUCACUCUUCUGUAGAAGUCUGUACGUGUGUAUGGACGAUGUUAUUAUACUUAGUGCUGAUAGAGCCUUAUCAUUUAGCUACAGACAGACUUCUACCUGCUCAGAGCUAUAGGGUUUAAGAAUGCACUCAGACAAUAUUGACAUAGCCAACACCAUAACAUCCUGCAAUCUGCGCAUAAACGGAGGCAUUCUGAAGACCUAUGCUCAACAAAAAAACUUCCUUCCUGCUGCCCUAACCCACGAGAGAGUGUUUAAAGGAAUAUACUGGUGUGGGGAGAAUAUCCUUCA